UGGGGAAUAUUGCACAAUGGGGAAGACCCUGAUGCGGCGACGCCGCGUGAGCGAAGAAGUAUUUCGGUAUGUAAAGCUCUAUCAGCAGGGAAGAAAAUGACGGUACCUGACUAAGAAGCCCCGGCUAACUACGUGCCAGCAGCCGCGGUAAUACGUAGGGGGCAAGCGUUAUCCGGAUUUACUGGGUGUAAAGGGAGCGUAGACGGAUGUGCAAGUCUGAAGUGAAAGCCCGGGGCUCAACCCCGGGACUGCUUUGGAAACUGUGUAUCUAGAGUGCCGGAGAGGUAAGCGGAAUUCCCAGUGUAGCGGUGAAAUGCGUAGAUAUUGGGAGGAACACCAGUGGCGAAGGCGGCUUACUGGACGGUAACUGACACUGAUGCUCGAAAGUGUGGGUAUCAAACAGGAUUAGAUACCC
rnacentral:rRNA from 1 species